UACGUAGGGGGCAAGCGUUGUCCGGAAUCAUUGGGCGUAAAGCGCGUGUAGGCGGCUCGAUAAGUCUGCUGUGAAAGUCCAGGGCUCAACCCUGGAAUGCCGGUGGAUACUGUCGGGCUAGAGUGCGGAAGAGGCGAGUGGAAUUCCUGGUGUAGCGGUGAAAUGCGCAGAUAUCAGGAGGAACACCAAUUGCGAAGGCAGCUCGCUGGGACGUUACUGACGCUGAGACGCGAAAGCGUGGGGAGCAAACAGGAUUAGAAACCCUAGUAGUCC
rnacentral:rRNA from 1 species